GACGAACGCUGGCGGCGUGCCUAAUACAUGCAAGUUGAGCGAUGAAGAUUGGUUCUUGCACCAAUUUGAAGAGCAGCGAACGGGUGAGUAACGCGUGGGGAAUCUGCCUUUGAGCGGGGGACAACAUUUGGAAACGAAUGCUAAUACCGCAUAAUAACUUUAAACAUAAGUUUUAAGUUUGAAAGAUGCAAUUGCAUCACUCAAAGAUGAUCCCGCGUUGUAUUAGCUAGUUGGUGAGGUAAAGGCUCACCAAGGCGAUGAUACAUAGCCGACCUGAGAGGGUGAUCGGCCACAUUGGGACUGAGACACGGCCCAAACUCCUACGGGAGGCAGCAGUAGGGAAUCUUCGGCAAUGGACGAAAGUCUGACCGAGCAACGCCGCGUGAGUGAAGAAGGUUUUCGGAUCGUAAAACUCUGUUGGUAGAGAAGAACGUUUGUGAGAGUGGAAAGCUCAUCAAGUGACGGUAACUACCCAGAAAGGGACGGCUAACUACGUG
rnacentral:rRNA from 1 species